UACGGAGGGGGCUAGCGUUGUUCGGAAUUACUGGGCGUAAAGCGCGCGUAGGCGGACCUGCAAGUCGGGGGUGAAAGCCCGAGGCUCAACCUCGGAACUGCCUUCGAUACUGCGGGUCUCGAGUCCGGGAGAGGUGAGUGGAAUUCCUAGUGUAGAGGUGAAAUUCGUAGAUAUCUGGAGGAACACCGGUGGCGAAGGCGGCAUCCUGGACCAAUUCUGACGCUGAGUGAGCGAAAGCCAGGGGAGCAAACGGG
rnacentral:rRNA from 1 species